AGCAAACGCUGGCGGCGUGCCUAAUACAUGCAAGUCGAACGGGGAAAGUAGCAAUAUGAGUACUAGUGGCGCACGGGUGAGGAGCGCGUGGGUAAUCUGCCUUCGAGCGGGGGAUAACUAGUCGAAAGACUAGCUAAUACCGCAUAAGACCACAAGAUCUGCGGAUCUAGGGGUCAAAGCAGCAAUGCACUUGAAGAUGAGCCCGCGUAAGAUUAGCUAGUUGGUGAGGUAACGGCUCACCAAGGCGAUGAUCUUUAGCUGGUCUGAGAGGAUGAUCAGCCACACUGGAACUGAGACACGGUCCAGACUCCUACGGGAGGCAGCAGUAGGGAAUAUUGCGCAAUGGGGGCAACCCUGACGCAGUGACGCCGCGUGAGUGAUGAAGGCCUUCGGGUCGUAAAGCUCUGUUAUAUGGGAAUAAGUUCUGAAUGUACCAUGUGAGAAAGGAUCGGCUAACUUCGUGCCAGCCGCCGCCGUAA
rnacentral:rRNA from 1 species